UUAAGGUUCUGUUUGAAACCAAUUUGUUCCCAGCAGAGUACACAUUCUUUCUCUAGGUCAUGAUAUUAGUUUCUCAAACCUAGUUUCCUGCUGUUGCCGGAAGGACCAGCUAUGGGUCUGGUGGGUUUUACGAAGGUCAGAUCGAGUCCAUCAUCAACUCAACUAGCCGCUGCGAGCAACAGGUGACAACCACAGACAAAGAUAAGAUCUGAAGUUGUUAAUUAAACGAGUUCUGGUGGCCGUACCGGUGGGAUUCAUCUGGUGGUUUAUUGGCUUGAAUUCAGGGCUGGAUUAGUUCGAAUCAGAGGAGAUGUGGCUCAAAUUAUUGAGCUGAACUUCAGCUGAUUUGGUGGAUUGUUUUGAACUGAGUUUGUAUGGAUAAUGUAAUGGCUUAAAGCUGUGUUGGUUUCGGGCUGAGCUUGGGUCAAAUCCUGGACGUGAAUUCAGUCGAGAGAAGCUGUUUAAGACAUGGGUUUGUUGUGGAUUUGAAUUUGCAGGUAAAUAGAGUGCAGAAGAUGAUGUCUUGACCAAGGACAACAACACCAGGUAAUGGCACAUGCACUGUUCGACAAAUGGUCUGAAACUGGGGAGAAUUGUUGCAGUGUACAGCUUGAGCUGGAUUUGUAUAUGGAAGUGAAUAUGAUUCGAAUUCGUGGUGGUUUAAGGCCAGGUUUGAAGCUGAAUACCAGCAGCAUAGUUGAUGUUGCUUCCAAGAGUUGUGUGGUCUGUUUCUGGGAGAUUGAGAGAUGGGUUUAGAAACAGUGAAGAUGAUAAUGAUUCUGCAGCUGUUGGUAAUGAAGACUGAAUCAUGAAAAUUAUGAAUGUUGAAUGGUGUUAGCAGGUUGCAGUUGACAGGGUCUUGAUCCAGUAUUACAGGGAGAAGGAAAAAUGGUUCCAAGUUUGAGCUGUUGUUGAGUUCUCAAGGUACAAACAAUGAACCUCUUGGACUGAAUUUCAGUAGGAGGGUGCAGUGACUGUAUUGCAGAGAAUGGAACUGCAAGUAAAUGAGUAUGCAGACAGUUAUGAAGAUGCAGUUGUAAUUGGCCUGAGAUGGAAGAAUGGGUGAAGGUGUACAAGGGUAGCUGAGUACAUUAGGAUGUGUUGUUAUAGUGUGCAACUAGUGUUUGUUGGCUGCAAUGGUUUUGUAUGUUGGCUCGAGAUCGUGUUGCUGUGGCAAACAAGAAGAGAUGCAGUUGUGGGUGAAAAUGAUGCAGUUGCUGGUGGUUUGAAGCAGUUUUGAUGUAUGGAGGAGCUUGAGCUGAGAUUGCAAGCCAGAGCAGUUUCUGGUGAAUUGCAUAUGAACUGAAAUGCAAGAACAGCAAAGGAUGCAGUUGCAGCUGGGUGUGUGAUGCUGCAAUGCAGGUUUGAGCAGUUGCAGUUGGAGAUGGAUCUGGUAGAAUGUAUGAUGCAGUGCAGGUGAUGGAAGUUGGGGUUGGCAUGAAGCAGAGAAGAUUGUGUUGGUUGAAGCUGGGUUCCAGGGAAGAUACAGUGCCAUCAUGGCUGAACUGAACUGGUGAAGCGCACUCAUUGCGUAGCAUUAGCUCAGACCAGCGCAAGUGGGUCAGGCCUCUGCAAAGUAAACGGUUGAGUUUGACCGGUGCCAUUUGAAUUUCCCGGUCACCUGAUGUGGUCUACUGGCGACUGUGCAGGCCAGUUUCCGGCUGAUAUUUUUGGGGUCAGGGUUUUCUAUUGGGGCUACUUUCACACAUGAAUCAUAUGGGCUUGCUGGAUAUAUUGGACUUGGACCUUUGAGGAUAUGACCUAGUUUUGAAGACGAGAAAGCUACAAAAAAGGAAAAGUUUUCUACAACUUUAUAUCACGUAUUUUACUUGGAGCUUUUUGGAGAGGGCCGGAGACAACUCGAGGGUUUGCUUUCGUAUUUGUAUUACGUAUCUUCUUUAUUUCAAUUAUUAUUGACGAUGAACUCCCUUAUUAUGAGUAACUAAAACAACUUUUGAUUAGAGGCGAUUUCAAAGCCCGGAGUAUGAAUCUAUAAUUGAUAUGAAAUAACUCGUUUUCUUGCCA